AUGGAGAAUUUCAGAGAAGUUCUAGCUGAUUGUAGGUUGCUGGACCUCGGUUUCAAAAGGCCUAAAUGGGCAUACAACAACAAGCAGGAUGGAGGGAACAAUGUAAAGGCAAGAAUAGACAGGGGUGUGGCAGACCUGCAAUGGAGUUCAACAUUUUCGAAUGCAUCGAUCGAGCAUAUAUGCUCUUCCAGAUCUGAUCACCUCCCUUUGUUACUUAGAGAAACUGUCAGGCUUGCAAAGCUCGCUGAAUGCUUGGGCAAAGAAGAAUUUCGGCUCGAUCAUUAA
rnacentral:rRNA from 1 species